rnacentral:rRNA from 1 species
UAAAGAUAUUAAGGGCAUACGGUGGAUGCCUUGGCACAAGAAGUCGAUGAAGGACGUGACAAGCUGCGAUAAGCUGCGGUGAGCUGCACAUAGGCGUUAUUAACCGCAGAUUUCCGAAUGGGGCAACCCGGAUGAGGUAAUGCUCAUCCACUUCCAUCUGAAUCAAAUAGGAUGGCUAGAGACAACCCGGAGAACUGAAACAUCUAAGUACCCGGAGGAAAAGAAAUCAACCGAGAUUGCGCUAGUAGCGGCGAGCGAACGCGCAGAUAGCCUAAACCCAUGCAUGUGUAAGUUUCAGGACGUUGCUGCAUGUGGUGUCGUGGGGUCGUCUUUGUGGGAGCCUGUACCUCCCAUGCGCAGUUACAAAAUCCAUUCAUAGUCGAAGUGGUCUGGAAAGUCCUACCAGAGAAGGUAAUAGUCCUGUAAGCGAAAUGAAUGGGUCUGCGUCGAGAUGAUACCCGAGUAAUGCCGGACACGUGAAAUCCGGUAUGAAUCCAGGGAGACCACUCUCUAAGGCUAAAUACUCUCUUGUGACCGAUAGCGAACCAGUACCGUGAGGGAAAGGUGAAAAGUACCCCGAGAGGGGAGUGAAAUAGUACCUGAAACCGUAUGCCUACAAGCAGUCGGAGCGCUCUUGCAGCGUGACGGCGUGCCUUUUGUAGAAUGAGCCAGCGAGUUACGAUGUGCGGCGAGGUUAAGUUUUGAAACGAGCCGUAGUGAAAGCGAGCCUUUAAGAUGGCGUCAUAGUCGUAUGUCGUAGACGCGAAGCCGGGUGAUCUAUCCAUGGGCAGGCUGAAGCAGAGGUAAGACUCUGUGGAGGGCCGAACCCACUUCGGUUGAAAACGGAGGGGAUGACCUGUGGAUAGGGGUGAAAGGCCAAUCAAACUCGGAGAUAUCUCGUUCUCCCCGAAAUAGCUUUAGGGCUAGCCUCGAAUCGUUUACUUACGGUGGUAGAGCCACUGGAUUCGUGCGGGGGCUUCACCGCCUACCAACCGAAACCAAACUCCGAAUGCCGUAAGUCUAUAGAUCGGGAGUCAGAACAUGUGGGCUAAGCCGUGUGUUCGAGAGGGAAACAGCCCAGACCGCCUGCUAAGGUCCCUAAAUUCAUGCUAAGUGGCAAAGGAUGUGCGUUUGCCUAGACAACCAGGAUGUUGGCUUAGAAGCAGCCAUGCAUUUAAAGAGUGCGUAACAGCUCACUGGUCAAGUGGACAUGCGCCGACAAUUCACGGGGCUCAAGCAUGAUACCGAAGCAGCGGACUGAUAUUUUUCAGUGGUAGGGGAGCUUUCUUAUCUGGGUCGAAGCUGUGUGGCAACGCAUGGUGGACUGGUAAGAAGUGAGAAUGCUGGCAUGAGUAACGAGAGUGAGGCGAGAAACCUCACCGCCGUAAGCCUAAGGGUUCCUGGGCAAGGCUAAUCCUCCCAGGGUCAGUCGGGAGCUAAGACGAGGCCGACAGGCGUAGUCGAUGCACAACAGGUUGAUAUUCCUGUACCACCACGAAUCGUUAUGACGAUGGGGUGACGGAGAAGGAUAGCUGGGCGGGGUUCUGGACGUCCCCGUGAAAGCGUGUAGGGUGCGCAUGCAGGUAAAUCCGCAAGCGCUUAUGCCUGAGACGUGAGACGAAGCUCUAAGUGAAGUCAGUGAUUCCCUGCUUCCAAGAAAAACCUCUAAGCAGAUAUCGUGGUGCCCGUACCAAAACCGACACAGGUAGGCGGGUAGAGUAUACCAAGGCGAUCGGGAGAACUAUGGUUAAGGAACUCGGCAUAAUGACUCCGUAACUUCGGGAGAAGGAGUGCCGCUCAUGGGUGAUAGGGCAUGCCCCUAAAAGCCUAGGGCGGUCGCAGUGAAACGGCCCAAGCGACUGUUUAUCAAAAACACAGGACUCUGCUAAGUCGCAAGACGAUGUAUAGGGUCUGACGCCUGCCCGGUGCUGGAAGGUUACGUGGAUGGGUUAGCCUUUUUGGGCGAAGCUCUGAAACUAAGCCCCAGUAAACGGCGGCCGUAACUAUAACGGUCCUAAGGUAGCGAAAUUCCUUGUCGGGUAAGUUCCGACCUGCACGAAUGGCGUAACGAUUUGGGCGCUGUCUCAACCAUAGACCCGGUGAAAUUGUAUUAUUCGUGAAGAUGCGAAUUACCCACGGAAGGACGGAAAGACCCCGUGAACCUUCACUACAGCUUGACAUUGAUCAUUGGUUCUGUGUGUAGAGGAUAGGUGGGAGACCGUGAAGCACGAGCGCCAGC